UAUACAUGGCGAAGUCGAGCGGGACCGACGGGAGCUUGCUCCCUUAGGUCAGCGGCGGACGGGUGAGUAACACGUGGAGUAACCUGCCUGUAAGACUGGGUAUAACUCCGGGAAACCGGGGCUAAUACCGGAUGCUUGAUUGAACCGCAUGGUUCAAUCAUAAAAGGGGGCUUUUAGCUACCACUUACAGAUGGACCCGCGGCGCAUUAGCUAGUUGGUGAGGUAACGGCUCACCAAGGCGACGAUGCGUAGCCGACCUGAGAGGGUGAUCGGCCACACUGGGACUGAGACACGGCCCAGACUCCUACGGGAGGCAGCAGUAGGGAAUCUUCCGCAAUGGACGAAAGUCUGACGGAGCAACGCCGCGUGAGUGAUGAAGGUUUUCGGAUCGUAAAACUCUGUUGUUAGGGAAGAACAAGUACCGUUCGAAUAGGGCGGCACCUUGACGGUACCUAACCAGAAAGCCACGGCUAACUACGUGCCAGCAGCCGCGGUAAUACGUAGGUGGCAAGCGUUGUCCGGAAUUAUUGGGCGUAAAGCGCGCGCAGGCGGUUUCUUAAGUCUGAUGUGAAAGCCCCCGGCUCAACCGGGGAGGGUCAUUGGAAACUGGGGAACUUGAGUGCAAAAGAGGAGAGUGGAAUUCCACGUGUAGCGGUGAAAUGCGUAGAGAUGUGAAGGAACACCAGUGGCAAAGGCGACUCUCUGGUCUGUAACUGACGCUGAGGCGCCAAAGCGUGGAGAGCGAACAGGAUUAGAUACCCUGGUAACCCACGCCGUAAACGAUGAGCUGCUAAGUGGUAAUAGGGUUUCCGCCCUUUAGUGCUGCGUCAAACGCAUUAAACAGUCCGUCUGGGGAGGACGGGCGGAAUACUGAAUCUCAAAUGAAAUUGACGGCGGCCCGCACAAUUCGCGGAACAUGUGCGUAAAUCGAGGCACCCAAAGAUCUU
rnacentral:rRNA from 1 species